UUCCCAAAUGAACCUGAUGCAGCAAUUAUGUGUGAAUAGCCACCACUCUGCUGAACAAGAUGGACUAAUUUGGCCCAUGGUUCAGCCAAAGGGUAUGUAAAUUUGUCAGAAUCAGCAAUAAGGACCUGAGAAACGGAAGGGUGGGAUGAAGCAGCAUGUUCCGCAGCUUCCUUCAGGGAAUGACCAGAUCCGGCAAGUAGCAACGAUAUCGAAUUGUCCCCACCUAAGGAUUUUGCAGCCUCCACAGCACUUAAUGAUGAGUUUUUGAUUAAUCCUCCUUCAUGUUCAGCUAAAACCAAUGUACUAAGAGAUCGAAAAGGGGUUAUCCGUGAAGUAUUAGAGAGUUUUCUGAAUAAGGAGAGCAUCGUUCCAAUGGCCAUAUCCAGUUCGCUCGCUUCAACUUGUGGUAUUUUGGGUCAAAAAUGUCAGUCCUUAUGGAGUAUUAAAGAUUAUUACUA
rnacentral:misc_RNA from 1 species